GACGUAGGGCGCGAGCGUUGUCCGGAUUUAUUGGGCGUAAAGAGCUCGUAGGCGGCUUGUCGCGUCGACUGUGAAAACCCGCGGCUCAACUGCGGGCUUGCAGCCGAUACGGGCAGACUAGAGUUCGGUAGGGGAGUCUGGAAUUCCUGGUGUAGCGGUGAAAAUGCGCAGAUAUCAGGAGGAACACCGGUGGCGAAGGCGGGACUCUGGGCCGAUACUGACGCUGAGGGGCGAAAGCGUGGGGAGCAAACAGG
rnacentral:rRNA from 1 species